ACCACUUUGUUGGCCUCUUUGACAUAAGUUCAAAUAUAGUACCUAUUUUUGUCAAUUUAUUCUUUCAUACUUCCUCUAUCCAAAGGCAAUUAUUAAAUAGAUUUUGGAACAGAGAAGUGGAAAAAGGGUUUGCUCUAUCCACUGUACCCAUUAACCUAGUAUGAAAGUAUCUCUAAGAAUGGUGCAUCCCAU